rnacentral:rRNA from 1 species
UACGUAGGGUGCGAGCGUUAAUCGGAAUUACUGGGCGUAAAGCGUGCGCAGGCGGUUUUGUAAGUCUGUCGUGAAAUCCCCGGGCUCAACCUGGGAAUUGCGAUGGAGACUGCAAGGCUAGAAUCUGGCAGAGGGGGGUAGAAUUCCACGUGUAGCAGUGAAAUGCGUAGAGAUGUGGAGGAACACCGAUGGCGAAGGCAGCCCCCUGGGUAAAGAUUGACGCUCAUGCACGAAAGCGUGGGGAGCAAACAGG